GGUGGUGAGUCCUCCGAUAAAGGCAAGGAAAUUGUACCCGAGGACCAGUAAUCUGAGUAUUUCGAGAAUCCCCACUCUGGACAUUGCUCAGAAAAAUCUGUAGAUAGCUCAUUUCAUCGAGGAUUACAAUUGGAUUGACAUCCUCAAAAUAUGGUUUCGGUUGGCAUUUCGGGAGGUGAGUGCCCAUAGGGGCACCGUGGCGGUUGUCACGGGUUCGAGGGGAUUUCUGGGUCGUGACACACGGUAACCUAAUUAUAUACCUACCUCCGAGGGGAGAUGUUGGAUGAAGUAUCUCCUAAGGUAAGAUUUGAGUGCACCUCACAUUCGGGCCACCACGUGAGA